AACGAACGCUGGCGGCAUGCCUAACACAUGCAAGUCGAACGAGACCUUCGGGUCUAGUGGCGCACGGGUGCGUAACGCGUGGGAACCUGCCCUUAGGUUCGGAAUAACUCCCCGAAAGGGGUGCUAAUACCGGAUAAUGUCUUCGGACCAAAGAUUUAUCGCCUUUGGAUGGGCCCGCGUUGGAUUAGCUAGUUGGUAGGGUAAAAGCCUACCAAGGCGACGAUCCAUAGCUGGUCGGAGAGGAUGAUCAGCCACACUGGGACUGAGACACGGCCCAGACUCCUACGGGAAGGAGCAGUGGGGAAUAUUGGACAAUGGGCGAAAGCCUGAUACAGCAAUGCCGCGUGAGUGAUGAAGGCCUUAGGGUUGUAAAGCUCUUUUACCCGGGAUGAUAAUGACAGUACCGGGAGAAUAAGCUCCGGCUAACUCCGUG
rnacentral:rRNA from 1 species